rnacentral:lncRNA from 1 species
GAUAGAUAAGCAACGAGUGGGCCUGGACGAGGAGAAACCUGGGCCACUGACCGCUCAAUGGGCCUGUUUGGUUCAGCUUUUUUCUGACCAGCUUUUCUGAGAAUCUGGCUGUGUGGAGAAUCUGGCUGUGUAGAGAAUCUGAGUAUCAUUAGGAUUACGUGCGGAGGAAGAUAAAGGUGUUCAUAAGACUCAGGAUCUAGAAAGUGACGGAUUCCUACUAUUGCAACGACUCAACCGAUUAUGUGUUUAUGUUGAUUUUGAAUAGUUUUUACCCAAACGAAUUUUAUAGAAGCUGACUGAAAAGCUAAGUGUUUGGCAGUCCGUAGCAGCUUUUGGUGGCCAGAAGUUCCAAAAAGCUGAAACAAACAUGGGCAAUAUACCACGCGCGAGGGCCCACCCAAGUGCGGGUUAGUUGUGUUGAGAACUACGUUACCACGGAUCACCAGAUCCGCUCCCUUCCCUCCCGUCAGCAGUAGAGGCGCAAGAAGCUGUAGAGAACCUGUCUCCCUUCCCAUAAGCACGACAGAGGAAACACACGAGACACUGGAUAUAGGGUUGGGCCUCUGGCCUCUUUCUGAUCUUUUUAUUAUGAGGGGUGUACAGGUACCUUAUAUAGAGAUGUGAGACCCCUCAGGGGCAAAGCAGGUAUUUGCCCAUAUAACCCUAACUAGGGUUACUUAACACUCCCCCUUGGGCAAAUACCGCGACCAACACAUGCCUCGUUAAAACUCCGAAAAAACCCAGUGGGAAAAAUAUGGAGAAAGAGUGCAUGGUGAUACAAAUUGCAUUUGCACUUUGUUGCCUCGUUAAAAACCUCACGUGAGAAACUUCAAGAAAACUCACUAAGGGAAAAAGAGUACAACAGCUGUCAUCGGGACAGAUUUCGAUCCUUUGGGAUCUAGAUUCUAUCGAAUCUUCUACAAAGGCUAACUUUAGAAAUGUGCUCCCCCUGAUUCUUGCAAAAUCGUAUCAAUAAGGCAGAACACCUUCUUCUGAAAGUAUAUGCACAUAAAGGUUUAGCAAACGGAUUGCAUAUCCUUGCAAGGACUAUUUCAGAAACUUUAUCUCUAGUCACUUCUAGCAUAUACGAGGUAAGUGCACGUAUCAAUAUAAAUAAGCCACUUUGAUUGAUGGUGUUCGAUCGACUAGAUCUAUAUAUUUGAUAGAAAGUUCCAUAAAGGUUCACAUAUUGAUCAUCAAGCUCACGCCUUCAGAGCAUAGAAUAUGACAUUUAUUGUCUCACGAUUGUGAUCAAUAUAAGCAUUCGCUCCCCCUGACGAUGACAUCUGUCAAAGUCGUUAUCCCUCAUAACUCAAGCAUAUUCUUCAAGAUAUAUGUCUCAUUGUUCAUCUGGAAUAACGAGAAUGGAUGAGGUUGGGGUGCUAUCAUUUUCUAUCUUACACCACAAUUUAUACAUAGUUGUGCAAAGCAAAUAACAUGUCCUUCAAUAGGACUUAGGGGAUAAUAUAGUUGCAAUAGUACAUAUUUUAAAUAUGACACAUCGCUCCCGGCGUUCAUCCAUUGCAACAUCUAUGAUGGUGUAAUAAAAGUCCAUCAAAGAUCGUAAUCCAUUAGGGAUUUUUCAUCGAUCAGAUACAUCGUUAUAGUCUGUCAUUCUAGCACAAUGGGGAUAUUUUGCCAGUAACACUUAAAACUUUAUAGGUUUCUGCCACCGGGGCUUUAGAGGAUACCGUAAUUCCACAUCUAGUGGAAAAUACCAUGAGUAAAACUCGUGGAAUGCACAUGUGCUUAUUCGGUGAACUUUAAAUCCUUUGGUACCUCAUCUUAUUCCUUUUCGGGUCUGUAUGGGUCUUUAUCCCUUUAUAGGGAUUAUCAAACUUUGGUAUUCAACACAGACUUUAUUUCUUCUGGAAAGGUUCCAUCAAGGAACUAUAAUCUCAUCUAGGAGAUAUUCUCUCUACAUAGAAGAGUGUUAAUUCGUCAGGAAUGUAUUAUUCGGUAUGAGAUUUAUAUGUUGCAUAUUUAUAAUUCGAAGAUAUGGAUCCUCCUAGGAUCUCAUGACGGAUCUUCAGAAUCCUAUUAACUGCAUAAUUUAAUUCAUGCCAUUUGUCAGAUAUAUUACAUAGCGGAACAGUGUUUGUUCAACACAUACGUGGGAUGGGUCUCUCACAAGACCACUUGAACCAUCGCAUUCACCACACAUUAUUUCAAUAGUGCCCAUAAAUGUCCGAACUUCAAGCUCGUGACUUUCAUUUUGCGAUUAUUGGUUCAGCCUCGAUUGCAUUUAUCAAUGACCCGAUAAGAGAGCUUCAAGCACUCAUGCCUAGGACUUUGUUUUGGAUCCAUUUGCAAUCUAGAGGGGCAAGAUAGGUGUCGACAUAUUUGUCUCCCACAUUUAAUAAUGAUCUUCGUCAUUUCCCAAAACAAAAGAUUCAUUGUUCCGUAUUCCCAGCACAAUGAUAUUGCGCGCAUUGCUAGGAACUUCAUCAUCAAGAUGAACCUCUUCGUGAGGCAAAUCACCAGCAGGGUGAAUUAAUCGGAGGAGAGUUAUCACAGACCACGUGAAUCUGCAAUCAGAACAUAUGCUUUGACUAAGGCCGAUGGAUCAUAUCCGCAGGCGUCCCCGCAGAAUAGAUUAAAUGCCAAUAAGUCAAAUGUGGAUAUGAUAUUAAUCCCGGGUAUAUCCACAUCUACAUCAGGUAGAAGCAUUCAAACCAAUACGGUUACUCCUCAACGAUUUCUGGCAAACUCCAUAUACACAGGAGUACACACUGAACGACAGGUUCAGUUUGGCUUUUGUGCGUUUAAUAGAAUAUUGAGGCAUGACAUUAUAUGGGCAUUCCUCCCCCUAAUGCCGAGAUGUUCUAAAAGCAUACAGAUAAAAUCCCCAACCACAAUCAUCUAGUUGUGGCCAAUGUAUGCUAUUGUGGUGAUUUAUUUGGGAAAUCUUACGCACAUUACAGAUAGGGGUUUUAUGCAGUGAGCAUUGGACUUUGAUUAAUGUAGUGGCAUGAAUACUACAUCUUUUCCUUCAACAUGAAGGGUUAGUCUCAACAUCCAGCGAGACACGCAACACAAGUUGCUUCGUGGUUACAAUUCUGCGAACUUAUUGUUAUUAUUACCAAAUGCACAGUCAAUCAUUAAGAUUUAGACUAACAUGCACAACACUAUUUUAUCCAUAAGGCUUCUUCAGGGGCUCAUGAAUACCAUUCGUCAUUUGGAGCCAUUAGUUGACUUUAGAUCAACAAGUAAAAUGACCAUCAGGGUCUAACGCUCACAAAGACAUUCACUGGUUGCAUUGUGCUUUUAAGCACAUAGGAAAAAUGUGUGUGUUUAUAUUGGUAGUGAAGUGCAUGGCAUCAGGCCAAUGCUGCCAAGCAAAGAUUUUUGUAUGCAGAGAUGUAUAGUCCAGCUCAUUUUUAUCACUGCCCAUGGUUUACCCAAUUACUCAUACUACUCUGAAAUUGGGUAUCGAUUUAUGCAACAUUUCUAGGUAUAAUAAUUUUGAGAGAGAACUUAUAACAACAGUUAAUUAUUUGUGGUGUUGCCAGCAGGGCAAACAUUUCUCCUCAUAUUAUAUACCAAAUUGUUCUAUAUAGCAUUAUUUCGAUCUCUUCAUUGUUCAGCAAAAAGAGAAGCUUUGGAAUAGAACAGACAAGGCCAAGAAUUCAUUUUAUCUGGGAAAUAUCACCAUAUAACUAGCUUUUGAUGAAGCAAAUGAUGAUAACUGCUUGGCAAGAACGAAACAAUACUGGUAUCCUCCUAGGAUCCAUCUUCAACAAUAGAUAUUACUGCUCUCAUACGAAGAAAUCAUCAGGAGUAGAGAGGAUACAACAGGUCUCUACAAGAUCUUCAUAUUUCUAUCACAAAUCACCACUUACAAUCUCGUGGUCAAGACUUAUGGCUCUUCUGGUGCCAAGGACCAAGGACAUAUUAAUGCCCAAUUUAGCUUCAAGCUUUGUGGUGAUGUGGGAUUUCAUGGCUAUUUUUCUACUCUUCUUAUUUCUGGUAGAUCAAAUAUAGAUUAUGGUAAGCAUGCCAAGGGGUGGAAUACAAUGUAAUUCUGCUACAUAAACCCCAGACAUAUGUCUAUUCAGAAUCGAUCUUUACCAUUUGGUUUAUAGUAUACACCAUACCAGUCAAAGGACUAUCCCAAGUCAAUUCAGCGGCUAUAAGUAUUUAAAUUCUGAGAGAUGUAUGCAAUACAAGCAUAGAGGUCCUAGAUAGGCCGAGUAAAGUGGUUCGACGAGAACACACAAUGUUUUUUUUCACACCAUCGUUGUGAAAAAAUUCUCAGAAUUACCUUUCGAUGUACUCGCAACUUCGUGUUGCUAAGGUACUAGCCAUUUAUCUCAAAGUUCGCUUCAUGCCGUUCAGCGACAAAUAGCAAUGUGUCAACAUCUGGUUGAGCAAUGUAUGACUGAGAUUCUAGCAUUUAUUCAUCUGAUAAGGUCUUAUUGCUUACUAAUAAAAUCCCAAUUUGUGAUGUUUUUUUUGUGCCAAAAAAAGGCUUUCAUGCAUUAAUAUUGAAUUUCUUCAGGUUACUUCGGGUAAAACUUUAUGCGCGAGGAGAGAGCAGAGAUUUAACUUAUCUGUGUUUCAUUGUAUUUCGAUUUAAUUUCCCAGAUUUAAUAUAGUUGUUAUGACCACUUGGCGAUAUAUAUAAAUAUACAAUGCCACACAACACAAUCAAACAAAAUAUAGAGCGAAAACAAAAUUAUUUACGAAGGUUGCACAUAAUGUGACUUCAGGGGCUUGAACAACCCACCACAAUCUACGCGAGUAAAAUCUCUAGCGUAUCUGGCGUCAACGCGUGUCCGGCCAUCAGGGCCACGACAACACAACAAGCCUUCGUAAUAAGCGCAACAGGCACAAUUAUGACUCGGUAAUCGGGGUACACGAUAAGUCCACGCAACGUGCGCAACAGGCGCAAUUGUGGCUUAAUGAUCACGACAAACAGACAGUGCCUACAGGGCAUGCGAAAAAUACGCGACUCAGUGAUGGCGGGUCGACUCAACGGGAGCUAUCCAAAUAAACGAGAGUGCUACAUAGCAAUCACAUGACGCAGCCAAGUUCGUACGACACAAAUACUGCGUCGUGUUGCCAGGGCGCAGCCAGUGCUCAGCCAAUGCCAUAACUCGGUCGAUUAAUAAUGUAGUCUGAUCGACGUGUCUGAGUACCCACUAUACAAUUUAAUCGCUCGACGUGAGUCCAAAAGCUCAACACAUCAUAAAUAUUUAGAGCGAUCCGAGUCUACACAGUAUAGUCUGCACACACGUUUUAAUAAUUUUCUGCUAAUUAUUUACUAUGAGAAAUAAAGCAGAAAAAUAAUAAUAGAAUUAUUACAUAAGCAUAAGCAGAUCAGAUGCAUGAAAACAUUUUCUCAUGCUUAAACAUGCAUUCUUUAAUUAAUUGUUUGCGACAAAAAAAAUAAUUUAAAUAGAAAUUGCAACAGAAAAGCACACAUAAUUAUAUUUCUUUUGUCCUAAACACAUAGCCUUAUCCAAUGCCUUUCACUUUAAGGACGUGCAACCACUUGCAUGCAACCAGCCAACAGCUUUGACGGGGCACUUUUUUUUCUUGCGCAAGGAUCACAUCAAGGACGUGCAACCACUUGCAUGCACAGCAACCAGUCAAUCGCUUUGACUGCAUGCUGCUUUGACUGCAUGCAUAUCACAUGACCUGUUCUAUGGCCGAGAUGGCCGGCCUCGGAGGUGCGGCUUCUAACGUCCGAGAUGGAAGCGAGCUCAUAGCCCGUCCUCGAAGCCAGCGAGACCACGGCGGCGGAGAAGGAGCGCAGGUAGGCGAGCACCAGCAGGUUGCAGCCAUGUUCCCGUGGCCACGAGCCACUCUGCUCUACGCAGAACAUGUACCUUGCGCAGGCACGCCUCCCCCUCGCGUCGUGGUUGAGAUUCACUGCCAUGCUGCUGCAGGAGUCGUGGGCGAGCAUCGUACACUGGCCUCUCUAUCUGUUGGCGUGCAUGCCCUGCGAGCACCACUACGCGGGCGAGUAGCACAAAGGGUCUGCGGGAGCAGGGCUCGCGCCUAGUUUCUUCAGGAAGUCCUUUUUCUUCUUCGGGAAGAACAGAUUGGCAAGUAAAUCAUAAAUCCAAUCUAAAAAUUACAUACCGUUAUAUUGGAUAGAGGAAUCGAAGUCUGUCGCGUAGGACAGUUCGGCUAGGCCGGAGGACCUGCCGACUUGAUGAAGAGUUGAUGCAGAUCUGAUCCCGCAGCAACGUCGAGGUAGAGCGUGCUGAUAACGUGUUGAGAACUACGUUACCACGGAUCACCAGAUCCGCUCCCUUCCCUCCCGUCAGCAGUAGAGGCGCAAGAAGCUGUAGAGAACCUGUCUCCCUUCCCAUAAGCACGACAGAGGAAACACACGAGACACUGGAUAUAGGGUUGGGCCUCUGGCCUCUUUCUGAUCUUUUUAUUAUGAGGGGUGUACAGGUACCUUAUAUAGAGAUGUGAGACCCCUCAGGGGCAAAGCAGGUAUUUGCCCAUAUAACCCUAACUAGGGUUACUUAACAAGUUGCUCAGGGGAGAUGACGAGCCCAAUGGUGGCCACCCCGGUCCAGCUCCGCAGCACCGGCCGCCUCAGCUUCUGCUGCUUCCCCAGCAGCGCAUCGGGGACAGCCCCCAGUCGGCGGCGAUUCGGGCGGUGACGGUGAGGGCGUCCGCGGAGACGAUGGCGACGGAGAAGCUGGGUAUCAAGGUGGAGCGCAACCCGCCAGAGUCCCGCCUCUCCGAGCUCGGCGUCCGCCAGUGGCCCACGUAAGCGAGCUACCCGCCCUCCUCCCUCCUCCCGGGCGUCUCGGUCUCUGUUCUCGCCCGCGGUCCUACGCUGCUACACUGCGCCCGUGCCCUGACGGCGAAUCCGCGCUGGUGAAUGAAUGGAUGGGUCCGUCCAUCAGGUGGGGGUGCGAGAAGAGCAAGUUCCCGUGGACCUACUCCGCCAAGGAGACCUGCUACCUGCUGCAGGGAAAGGUGAAGGUGUACCCCGACGGUCACGGCGAGGAGUUCGUGGAGAUCGCCGCGGGGGACCUUGUCGUCUUCCCCAAGGGCAUGAGCUGCACCUGGGACG